GGGUUGUGAGGUUAAGCGACUAAGCGUACACGGUGGAUGCCCUGGCAGUCAGAGGCGAUGAAGGACGUGCUAAUCUGCGAUAAGCGUCGGUAAGGUGAUAUGAACCGUUAUAACCGGCGAUUUCCGAAUGGGGAAACCCAGUGUGUUUCGACACACUAUCAUUAACUGAAUCCAUAGGUUAAUGAGGCGAACCGGGGGAACUGAAACAUCUAAGUACCCCGAGGAAAAGAAAUCAACCGAGAUUCCCCCAGUAGCGGCGAGCGAACGGGGAGCAGCCCAGAGCCUGAAUCAGUGUGUGUGUUAGUGGAAGCGUCUGGAAAGGCGCGCGAUACAGGGUGACAGCCCCGUACACAAAAAUGCACAUGCUGUGAGCUCGAUGAGUAGGGCGGGACACGUGGUAUCCUGUCUGAAUAUGGGGGACCAUCCUCCAAGGCUAAAUACUCCUGACUGACCGAUAGUGAACCAGUACCGUGAGGGAAAGGCGAAAAGAACCCCGGCGAGGGGAGUGAAAAAGAACCUGAAACCGUGUACGUACAAGCAGUGGGAGCACGCUUAGGCGUGUGACUGCGUACCUUUUGUAUAAUGGGUCAGCGACUUAUAUUCUGUAGCAAGGUUAACCGAAUAGGGGAGCCGAAGGGAAACCGAGUCUUAACUGGGCGUUAAGUUGCAGGGUAUAGACCCGAAACCCGGUGAUCUAGCCAUGGGCAGGUUGAAGGUUGGGUAACACUAACUGGAGGACCGAACCGACUAAUGUUGAAAAAUUAGCGGAUGACUUGUGGCUGGGGGUGAAAGGCCAAUCAAACCGGGAGAUAGCUGGUUCUCCCCGAAAGCUAUUUAGGUAGCGCCUCGUGAAUUCAUCUCCGGGGGUAGAGCACUGUUUCGGCAAGGGGGUCAUCCCGACUUACCAACCCGAUGCAAACUGCGAAUACCGGAGAAUGUUAUCACGGGAGACACACGGCGGGUGCUAACGUCCGUCGUGAAGAGGGAAACAACCCAGACCGCCAGCUAAGGUCCCAAAGUCAUGGUUAAGUGGGAAACGAUGUGGGAAGGCCCAGACAGCCAGGAUGUUGGCUUAGAAGCAGCCAUCAUUUAAAGAAAGCGUAAUAGCUCACUGGUCGAGUCGGCCUGCGCGGAAGAUGUAACGGGGCUAAACCAUGCACCGAAGCUGCGGCAGCGACACUAUGUGUUGUUGGGUAGGGGAGCGUUCUGUAAGCCUGUGAAGGUGUGCUGUGAGGCAUGCUGGAGGUAUCAGAAGUGCGAAUGCUGACAUAAGUAACGAUAAAGCGGGUGAAAAGCCCGCUCGCCGGAAGACCAAGGGUUCCUGUCCAACGUUAAUCGGGGCAGGGUGAGUCGACCCCUAAGGCGAGGCCGAAAGGCGUAGUCGAUGGGAAACAGGUUAAUAUUCCUGUACUUGGUGUUACUGCGAAGGGGGGACGGAGAAGGCUAUGUUGGCCGGGCGACGGUUGUCCCGGUUUAAGCGUGUAGGCUGGUUUUCCAGGCAAAUCCGGAAAAUCAAGGCUGAGGCGUGAUGACGAGGCACUACGGUGCUGAAGCAACAAAUGCCCUGCUUCCAGGAAAAGCCUCUAAGCAUCAGGUAACAUCAAAUCGUACCCCAAACCGACACAGGUGGUCAGGUAGAGAAUACCAAGGCGCUUGAGAGAACUCGGGUGAAGGAACUAGGCAAAAUGGUGCCGUAACUUCGGGAGAAGGCACGCUGAUAUGUAGGUGAAGCGACUUGCUCGUGGAGCUGAAAUCAGUCGAAGAUACCAGCUGGCUGCAACUGUUUAUUAAAAACACAGCACUGUGCAAACACGAAAGUGGACGUAUACGGUGUGACGCCUGCCCGGUGCCGGAAGGUUAAUUGAUGGGGUCAGCGCAAGCGAAGCUCUUGAUCGAAGCCCCGGUAAACGGCGGCCGUAACUAUAACGGUCCUAAGGUAGCGAAAUUCCUUGUCGGGUAAGUUCCGACCUGCACGAAUGGCGUAAUGAUGGCCAGGCUGUCUCCACCCGAGACUCAGUGAAAUUGAACUCGCUGUGAAGAUGCAGUGUACCCGCGGCAAGACGGAAAGACCCCGUGAACCUUUACUAUAGCUUGACACUGAACAUUGAGCCUUGAUGUGUAGGAUAGGUGGGAGGCUUUGAAGUGUGGACGCCAGUCUGCAUGGAGCCGACCUUGAAAUACCACCCUUUAAUGUUUGAUGUUCUAACGUUGACCCGUAAUCCGGGUUGCGGACAGUGUCUGGUGGGUAGUUUGACUGGGGCGGUCUCCUCCUAAAGAGUAACGGAGGAGCACGAAGGUUGGCUAAUCCUGGUCGGACAUCAGGAGGUUAGUGCAAUGGCAUAAGCCAGCUUGACUGCGAGCGUGACGGCGCGAGCAGGUGCGAAAGCAGGUCAUAGUGAUCCGGUGGUUCUGAAUGGAAGGGCCAUCGCUCAACGGAUAAAAGGUACUCCGGGGAUAACAGGCUGAUACCGCCCAAGAGUUCAUAUCGACGGCGGUGUUUGGCACCUCGAUGUCGGCUCAUCACAUCCUGGGGCUGAAGUAGGUCCCAAGGGUAUGGCUGUUCGCCAUUUAAAGUGGUACGCGAGCUGGGUUUAGAACGUCGUGAGACAGUUCGGUCCCUAUCUGCCGUGGGCGCUGGAGAACUGAGGGGGGCUGCUCCUAGUACGAGAGGACCGGAGUGGACGCAUCACUGGUGUUCGGGUUGUCAUGCCAAUGGCACUGCCCGGUAGCUAAAUGCGGAAGAGAUAAGUGCUGAAAGCAUCUAAGCACGAAACUUGCCCCGAGAUGAGUUCUCCCUGACUCCUUGAGAGUCCUGAAGGAACGUUGAAGACGACGACGUUGAUAGGCCGGGUGUGUAAGCGCAGCGAUGCGUUGAGCUAACCGGUACUAAUGAACCGUGAGGCUUAACCUUACAACGCCGAAGGUGUUU
rnacentral:rRNA from 1 species